rnacentral:misc_RNA from 1 species
GGAAGUAAAAGUGUAACAAGGUUUCCGUAGGUGAACCUGCGGAAGGAUCAUUAUUGUAUAACCGAGGUGCGAGGGCUGUCGCUGACCCGAAAGGUCGUGCACGCCCGAGUGCCCUCACACACAUCCAUCUCACCCCUAUGUGCACCACCGCGUGGGUCCCCCUUUGGCUUGUUCGGAGGGGGGCUUACGUUUUCACACAAACUUUGUAUGCAGUGUAGAAUGUAUUUUUUGUUUUUGCGAUCACGCAAUCAAUACAACUUUCAACAACGUAUCUCUUGGCUCUC